rfam:Camelus ferus unplaced genomic scaffold scaffold14590, whole genome shotgun sequence.
ACCCUCAAUGGCUCAGUAGCCAGUGUAGAUCCUGUCUUUGGUAAUCAGUAGCUACAUCUGGCUACUGGGUCUCUGAUGGCAUCU